UCUUUUUAUCAUUUAAUUCUAAUUUAAUUCUACUCUAAAAUCUUUCUGCAAAUUAAAAGUGCACUCCCCCGAGUAAAACAUAUUUUACUGUAAGAACUGGAACACACACAUCUACUUUAUGAUCCAGUGCUGAUAAGAAGUUAUGAAAUAUCAUUUUGAAUAGUGCAGAGUGCAUACCUGUCAAAACUGGAACACACACACAUUUACUAUAUGAUCCACUGCUGAUAAGAAGUUAUGAACUAUCAUUUUGAAUAGUGCAGAGUGCAUACAGAUUCUUUUUGGACACAAACUAAGCCUCCCAAUACUACAUCCCGUUGUUGUUAAUUGUGAUUUCUGCAGCUUGCCGCAUGUGUUUAUUCAAACUACAUCUCAUUGUUUUUGCCUUUGCACUACCCGACUCACGAGGUCGUACCACUCCUGCUCCUGUAUUAGAUGGCAGCACAUGCCCUUAUGAAAAUUGAAGAAGACUAUAGUGAAAAAACAUCAAAAUUUGCUCUGAGUUCUUGUUGGCUUCGUUACUGUUUUAAGUGAUGCUAUUAUAUUUGAAAAGGAAUUACUCCAACUUCUUUUUGUAAUGUUGAACCAGUCACUGAACCGUGCAAUAUGAGCGUGGAAACACGAACGACAAAUAAAAGAUAGUGCUAAACAUUGGGAUUCGCUGCACCAAGCCAUACCCGGACGAGCGCCCCAACAUGCAGGAAGUGGCUGCAGGGCUGCAUGGAAUCAAGGAGGCUUAUCUCAGAUGGUACUAAGUGACAUCGAUUUGCAUAUGGCUGCUCUUGCAUUGGAGUUGUGUUCCACAAUAAUGGUUGACAGAAGAUCCAUUAAAAACGUCGGUUUAGCUGUGAGACAUACAAUUUUGCAUGACACCCUUGUUUUCAUCAGGAGCGCUAUGUUGCAAGGACAAGCAGUACAGAUUGAUGUUGGAUUAUCUAUUAUGGCAGUGACAUCUAUUUGCAUAUGGCUGCUCUUGCAUUGGAGCUGUGUUCCACAAUAAUGGUUGACAGAAGAUACAUUAAAAACGUCAUACAGUUUUGCAUGACACCCUUGUUCUGAUCAGGAGCGCUAUGUUGCAAGGACAAGCAGUACAGCUUGAAUGAGAGAGAGAUAGAGGCAGGUGCACCUGGACACGAGGAGAUGUGACUAACACAGCCAACACAGUUUGGAAGUCCUCCGGUGAUGGAUUCGGCAGCAGCAGAUGGGUUGAAGGCCUCUGGCGAUGGAUGCGAUAGUACGAGGUGGAGCCGGCGAGGGAUGCAACACCAUGCGGGGCAAGGUCUGUACCGGCGAGGGAUGCAACACCACAUGGGGCAAGGUGGUGCUCUGUAGUGGCGACAGAGGCAGCACCUCUGUAGCGGCGUGGUGGUGCUCGGCGACAGAGGCAGCACCAAGCGCGGCAAGUCGUGCCCUGGUGAGCCGUAGCUGCAUGGAGGGUUUGGCUUGGAACUGCCAGGACGUGCGUGCGUUAGUGGAUUUUACUGCAUUUGUGUUGAACCGUUUUGCAAUCAGCCGAUGGCCGUAUCUCUUCGGCUGUUGACCGUCCGAGGUGGGGAACGGUUGAUUUAGUAGAGAUUAAUUGAUUGGUUUGUCGUCUGGUUUAUGCAGGGUUGAAAGAAAAACGGUGGAAGGUUAGCGCUAGAGGUUUGAUCGAUCGAGUGUGGGUUGAAAAAAAAUCAAAAAAAUCGGUGGAAGGUUAGCGCUAGAGGGGGGAUCGAGCUUGGUCGAACUAUCGCGACGACGACAGAUCCCCUUUAAUAGUAGAGAUAAUUCGGUAUAGAAAAGAUGGAAGUAUUAUAUACCAACUACACAUAUCAAAUAUCCAUAAAGGUGACCUCUUUAUAUAAUUCAGCACCUGGGUAUCCCCUGAUGAGUUCAUGUCUAUCAUAAUGAACGACUAUGCCAAUUAUGUCUGUAUCAAAUAUCAUUAGUCGAAUUUAGGUACUAAGACUACCUUUGUAUUAGUAACUAUUAUAUGCCUGGAUGCAUACCUAUGAAAGUUUGCUUUGGACACCUUUGAA